GACGAACGCUGGCGGCGUGCUUAACACAUGCAAGUCGAGCGGUAAGGCCCUUUCGGGGGUACACGAGCGGCGAACGGGUGAGUAACACGUGGGUGACCUGCCCUCAGCUCUGGGAUAAGCCUGGGAAACUGGGUCUAAUACCGGAUAUGACUCCAUGACGCAUGUUGUGGGGUGGAAAGCCUUGUGCGGCCGGGGAUGGGCCCGCGGCCUAUCAGCUUGUUGGUGGGGUGAUGGCCACCAAGGCGACGACGGGUAGCCGGCCUGAGAGGGCGACCGGCCACACUGGGACUGAGACACGGCCCAGACUCCUACGGGAGGCAGCAGUGGGGAAUCUUGCGCAAUGGGCGAAAGCCUGACGCAGCGACGCCGCGUGAGGGAUGACGGCCU
rnacentral:rRNA from 1 species